CUCUCUGAAUCUGCGAACGGCUCCGCAAACCAGUUGUAAACCAAAGCAAGCAUACUCGGGGACUGCCCUUCACGGGGUGGGCUCGGGUGAUACGGAUAACCCUGGUAAUUCUGAGGCUAAUACGAGACUAUAAUCCCUGGCGGACCGGGCAACUGGGAAGCUGGGGGGCGCGCGAUCUAUUUGCAAGACGAUACCAGGAGGGGGUGCACGCUCUGACCGCGAUAAAGACGGUUCCGGUAAACCUUCGGGCGAGCUGGUUCCGAGCGGCUCUUGCGAUGUGCUUCUGACCUAUCAACUAGAUGGCAGCGUAACGGACAUGCCAUGGUUACAACGGGUACAGAGGAUUAGGGUUCGAUCCUGGAGAGUGGGCCUGAGAGAUU
rnacentral:rRNA from 1 species